GCUGGCUGAUGUAGCUCACUGAUAUCUGUGUAGACAGGGAGCUGUGACAAGAGCAAGAGGUCAGAACACAUCCAGACUCCUUAAGGGAAGUUCUCUUUCUGUUUCUGACACUUUUCAAAGCCAGGGACUUGUCCAGUCCAACCUCCCCACUGCUCCUAGGUCCUGAGGCUCAGCGCCCUUGGCUUCUGUCCGCCCUGCUCAAGGUCCUGCAGCGUUGCCACUGCUCAGCCAUGCUCCUGCUGCUCGUCCCAGUGCUCGAGGUGAUUUUUACUCUGGGAGGAACCAGAGCCCAGUCUGUGACCCAGCUUGACAGCCAAGUCCCUGUCUUUGAAGAAGCCCCUGUGCUGCUGAGGUGCAACUACUCAUCAUCGUCUGUUUCAGUGUAUCUCUUCUGGUAUGUGCAAUACCCCAACCAAGGACUCCGGCUUCUCCUGAAGUAUUUAUCAGGACCCACCCUGGUUAAAGGCAUCAAUGGUUUUGAGGCUGAAUUUAAGAAGAGUGAAACUUCCUUCCACUUGAGGAAACCCUCAGCCCAUAUAAGCGACACGGCUGAGUACUUCUGUGCUGUGAGUGACACAGUGCCUGAGACUGCAGAGGAGCUGAACACAAACCUCCUGAGAUGCUGAGACUUUCUGUGACUCAAGAACUCAACCUGUGGAGCUUUCAAGAAGGUCUCUUUUUUUCUGUGCCCCUUUUGAAGGCACAUAGGGCAGGGUAGGCCGAGCCCUUGGUAGGAUUUGUCUCCUGAAUAAUUGCUCCAAUGUCAAUGUCGUGCCACAUUCAGAUACGCUUUGUCCCACAUGGAGGUUUACUGAUGAAUUUCUUCAGUGGGGACCUCCUCCACACUCUGAAGAAAGUACAUCCUAAGGUGUCAGAGCUCCUAAAUAAAAGGCAACAACAUUUUUAUAAAAAAUUAUUUCUAGCAUUCAUCAUGAUUAGUAUUGCCUCAGGAGUUAACUUGUGAAUAACUGAUGUAAUAAUCUGAUUAGAAUGUUAGCUAAAAGCUGUGCAGGAUGGAUUCUCAAUUAGGGCAACCCAUGCAGCACAGAUUCUCAGUGUACUGCAGAUUCUCAACCUAGAUUUGAAGCUUAACUUCCAGCACAUACAUAGUAUCCCACUGUGUGGUAUUGACAUGUUUAAAGUAAAUUAGACAUAAUAUCAAGAUUUUUAAUCUUGUAAGCAUUAUGCAAAGCAGGAAAUUAAACAUGAAUCUUAAUACAAUAUUGAAAAACUAAGCCAUCAAGUUGUGAUCUUUUUUAAAACAGCUAUUCCAGUGAUUUUCAAGUUCCAAAUCUGAGGGAUAAAAAUGUAACCAAUAUAAAGAUACAAAAUACACUAGAUUCAACUACUUUAAAAACUACUUUAAAACUCUGAGGCACUUCAUUUUAAGAGAUUACAUAGAUUUAUUUUACAAAAUUACACAACAAAAAUUUCCGGUUACAUUAUCAGAGCAUGUAUUAAUUCUAAUGGGUGUCUCCAAGA